GGUGGGGUUCCCGAGUGGCCAAAGGGGGCAGACUGUAAAUCUGCUGACUUCGUCUUCGGUGGUUCGAAUCCACCCCCCACCA
rnacentral:tRNA from 1 species